AGCUUGUCCUCAGAGAAUUAGGUAACUUGUUCAAAUGGUCAGAAGCAAUAGAUAUAACUCCUUGCUCUACUCUUUCCCCCCUUCUCACUACUGCACUUGCCUAGUCUUUU
ensembl:misc_RNA Y_RNA Y RNA